UCGAAACCUGCCUAGCAGAGCGACCCGUGAACACGUUAAACCAUGUGGGCGUUGGGGCGUUGCUCGGCGCCUAGUGUGCCGGACCGACCCUCUCCCAAGCCGGGGGAACGCUCACUUGUGGGCUAUUCCCUCGGCAAAACAACGAACCCCGGCGCGUAAUGCGACAAGGAAUACAAACAUUAUGUGUGUGCUCUCUUGUCGCCCGGUUGCCCGGGCGUUGGAGCGGUGCUAUGUCUUAACAAUAAACGACUCUCGGCAACGGAUAUCUCGGCUCUCGCAUCGAUGAAGAACGUGGCGAAAUGCGAAACUUGGUGUGAAUUGCAGAAUCCCGCGAACCAUCGAGUUUUUGAACGCAAGUUGCGCCCGAAGCCUUUGGGCUUAGGGCACGUCUGCUGGGCGUCACGCAUCGCGUCUCCCCCAAAUCCACCCAGAGUGGAGGGGAAGGAGGAUGGUCUCCCGCGACUCACCGGUUGCGGCUGGCCUAAAAUUGGAGCCCUCGGUAUCGUGAUGCCGUGGCUAUUGGUGGUGAACAAGGCCUCGGCCAAGCAAGCAACCCGCCGCGCGUCGUGAUGCCAACGUGAGCUCGAAGGACCCUUUUAGUUGCCUAACGGCAACCUCACCGUCGCGACCCCAGGUCAGGCGGGACUACCC
rnacentral:rRNA from 1 species